UUUCAUUAUGAUCAUUACCUGCCAGAGACCAAAAGACCCCCACCCACAAAAUGGUGAACUUCCUGCUUCUCUUCCCGGUCCUCUGCUCCCACAAGCGCCAACCAAGGCCCAAUCACCCCUCUACACCUUCCCACCGGCACCAUCUAAAAGCCAAUUGUUUUUUGACCCACCCCUUCCUUCCUAACCUGUAUAAAUUGAGCCUGCAAACAAUAAACUGUGCCAGCUUGAUCAGACAUCCUGUCUUGCUGGUCGUUCUUUGUGUCCCUUGCUUGUUUCAUUUCUGCAGGCGUCUCCGGCUACACCCCACGUUCGUCCCGCAGGCCGGGACAAUUACCCACAUGGACAAGCAGCCAAAGUUUAAUAUCUUUUGGUCAAUAAUUGCUUCCCUGACUAAUAGGUCUUGGUGGCCAUCUAGAGGGAAGCACAGCCUUCUUCUCUACCUGGUCCCCUUUGCUGGCAAUCACACAUAAAAAAACAUGGACCUGGAAACCCACACACGGGAACUACAUUUCAGGUGUUUAAUCAUCUUUACAACUCCCAGAUAUUUGCGAUUUAUGGAAUUUGUGGUGCUUGGAGAGCGUGGUGCACUUUUCUCCAUCCUCAGUCUCUCUUCUGGCCCUGAUGCGAUGCCACUCACUGCUUGCCACCCCAGUGAAAGAUAAAGAUCGAGCUGGCUACCCCGGUGCUGGCCCCAGGUUCAUUAGGGGACCAUCUGACUGGCACACUGGACAGUCCUCUGUGUCUUGGAACAACAUGUUUUCCCUUCUCAGAGACCCCAGAGCCUCUCAGGAGCCCUGUUUUGCUCCUGACUCUGAAGAGAUGCUCCUCAAAGAGACUGUUACUGGUGGCUCAGCCUCUUUCCCAUCCUGAUCAUCCUGAUCCCACCCAACCAAUUGGCUUUUAGACCUGCUAAUAGAAGAGCUGGCAACAGUCAAUCACAGCAGUACCAGGAAGAUAGCUGCUUCCUCCCUCCUUCCAUCACUGAGCUUCUCUAGGGAGAAUGCGUUAAUGCAGGAGCUCCUGAGACCAACGGGUCUUGUAACUCACAAGGUGGCUUUA